GCGGCGAAAAAGAGAAGUAUUGUCGGCAAAUUCUUGUAUCUAACGUAUUGAAUUUUCGAAUUAAAAUGGGACAUUGGAGUUGUUGCGUAAACAAAUGUAAGAAUAAUGAUAAAAAUAGUACGUGUAAAUUUUAUAGAUUUCCGAAAGUAAAACAUAAAAUAACGCAAAAAUUAAAAUGGAUUGCAAAUGUAAGAAAAGUAAAUCCAGAUAAUGCAGAUGGAUCACCUUGGUAUUCUAAAUCUUAUGAAUAUAUAUGAGUGAGCAUUUUAUUGGUGAACAAAAGUCUGAUAGUGUGUUGAAUCCUAAUUAUAUUCCGACAAUAUUUUCUUCUGACAAUAAGGACAAAUUAAAAAGAGAGUAAAACAAAAUGGCAAGUCAUGAUUGUUUUACAAAGCGAAGGAUUGAAUAAAAAUCAACAACUCAUAAGCACAUUAAAACCAAUCGACCAUAGUCGAUACUAGAGUAACAGGUGAUAUUAAAAUAGGAAAAGUUAACAACAAAGUAGUUACAAGUGAUAAGGAAUGUUGAGUGAAUUUUGUUAUUGACAAUGUUGUAGGACAAAUUUUACUUCUAAUACUCAUUGUAAAUAGCGAUGGUUUCCGCGAUGUUAAAUAGAGAUCCAAAUAGAGAUUCAGGAAUUUACUAUUGUAAAAAUACCUAAUCAGAUACAGUUCAAAAAUAAAAAGUGCGGUACCAUACUUAACUUUUGUAGAUCAAGCAGCUGGGCCCAAUGUCGAGCAUGCGAAAAAUAGAACAUUUUUCUGGCUUUAUAAGUCUGUCAAAACUGAGGAGCAACUUUUAGAUUUAACUGGUGUAAAUUUUAGUAAUUUUCAACUUUUAUUGACUAGAUUGAAGAAAUACAGUACAUAUUCAAUUAUCAAAGUUUCACUUGAAAACCAAUUAUUAUUUUUAAUGUAAAGUAAUAUUUUAUAAACAAAUAAUAAUGAAAAUGAAUAUUUUUAAUAAAACUUCGCUUGAUUUUUGCUACAAUUAGUGUAUUGUUUUCUGUACACAUAACAUCUACUUCAAGAAUUUUUUCUCAACAUUGGAAAUUUUAGCUGAUGCUACAAAAAAUUUUGUAUUUUUGCCAGAAAAGCACGUAGUUCAAUUAACUAUGCAAGAAUGUUUCAACCUAGAUUAUAUAAAUACGAGGGUUAUUAUAGAUUGCGCAGAAUUAAAAAUUGAAAUUCCUGUUAAUGAUGAAAAUCAAGUCUACUGUUAUUCUAAUUAUAAAAAAAAGUUUUACAGGUAAAUUGUUUUUAGAUAUAACUCCAGUGGGUUUUAUUUGUUUAAAGUCAACAUUGGCCGGAGGACGAAAAAGUGACUCACAAAUGACAAUUGAAUCCGGUUUGAUAGAUUUAUUAAAAGAUGGACAUGUAGUUUUAACUGGCAAAGGGUUUCCAGAGAUCAAACGAACAAUAAACGAGAAGAGUAAAAAAGUAACAUUAGUUUUGCCACCUUUUUUCGCAAACGAGUUUAAAUUUUCAAAAGAAGAAAUAGAAGAAACACACAAAAUUGCAAGGGUUCGUGUAUGUAUCCACGUAGAAAGAAUUAUGUAACGACUACGAACGUAUCAAAUAUUACAUAAAAUUUCUCAAUAUCUGUUCAGUUCAAUUGAUUAUAUUAUUUAUAUAUUUUGUGUUUUAGUAAAUCUUCAACCACCGAUUUUUGCAGAACAAACUACUGAAUAGUAUUAGUUUCAAAAUUUUUAUUCACAUUUAAUUAUAAUAUAACAUCAUAUAUAACACUCAUAUUAUAUAUAUAGAAUUUAUUCAACUUAAAUGUUACAAUUUUGGUUUUUUACAAAGUAUAUUUCAUUUUUAUUGUGUGACGUGCCUUGU